rnacentral:rRNA from 1 species
GUAACACGGUGGGACAACCUGCCUACAGUAGGAAGGGGAAUACGCCCUACCCGGAAAGGGAGUAAUUAACUACCGCAUAAUAUCUAUUGAGUGCAUCUAUUAUGAUAAGGAGUAAUCCGCUAUGAGAUGGGCCCGCGGCGCAUUAGCUAGUUGGUGAGGUAACGGCUCACCAAGGCGACGAUGCGUAGCCGACCUGAGAGGGUGAUCGGCCACAUUGGGACUGAGACACGGCCCAGACUCCUACGGGAGGCAGCAGUGGGGAAUAUUGCACAAUGGGGGAAGCCCUGAUGCAGCAACGCCGCGUGAGUGAUGAAGGUCUUCGGAUUGUAAAGCUCUGUCUUCAGGGACGAUAAUGAUGGUACCUGAGGAGGAAGCCACGGCUAACUACGUG